UACGUAGGGUGCGAGCGUUGUCCGGAAUUAUUGGGCGUAAAGGGCGCGUUGGCGGCCCCCGCAAGUCGACUGUGAAAUCUCCGGGCUUAACCCGGAAAGGUCAGCCGAUACUGCGGGGCUAGAGUGCAGAAGGGGCAACUGGAAUUCUCGGUGUAGCGGCGAAAUGCGUAGAUAUCGAGAGGAACACCUGCGGCGAAGGCGGGUUGCUGGGCUGACACUGACGCUGAGGCGCGAAAGCUAGGGGAGCGAACGGG
rnacentral:rRNA from 1 species